rnacentral:rRNA from 1 species
AUGUGGGCUAGCAGAAGGAUAGGGGAGGACCAACAACUGUACGUAGUCCACGUGCAGGGAGCCGCUGGCAUCGGUCUCCCGACUACGCUGCUGGUCAAGAAGUUCCAGAAUGCAAACCCAGCACUACUAGUGGAUGACAAUGUCAAGAACCGCUGCAAGUUGGAGAUGACUCUGUUAGCCAGCAUCUCUCAUGACAACAUCAUCAAUGUGCUACACUUCAUCCAGAGGGAAGACGCGAUCAUGCUCGUCUACGAGUACCCCGUGAAUGGCAGCCUUGACUACUGGCUGCACCGGCGGGAGGGGGGCGAGCAGCCACUGAGCUGGCCGCAGACGAUUGCCAUCGCCAUCGGCUUGGCCCAAGGGCUCUGCCACUUGCAUCACCGAUGCAACAGACCGAUUGUCCACCACAACAUCAACUCUGAAAACAUCUUGCUUGAUCAGAAUUUCAAGGCCGUGAUAGCCAGCUUUGGCAUUGCGCAGAUGAACAUUGCCGGGCUUAACCAACCAUUGCCGAUCGGGGACAUUCCAGUUGGUAACUUUGGGUAUGCAGCUCCAGAGUAUGGUGUCGCGGCAAGCCAGCUGACGGAGAAGGUAGACAUUUACAGCUUCGGUGUGCUGCUGCUGGAGCUAGUCACAGGGAAGUUGGCCAAUGGAGCAGAUGGUCUAUUGGCGAUUUGGGCUCAGGACAACUGCAAUGAAUUGAUGGCAAACCAUCUGAAAAUGUUCAAGAUUGUCGUGGACAAGGGCAUCCCUGAUCAAGCGCGGUACAUGGAGGAGAUGGCGGCCGUGUUCAGGCUGGGUGUGGAUUGUACCGUUGGAGAUCCGAAGCAAAGGCCGUCCAUGCAGAUAGCUCUCAAACGACUGUGCCGCAGCCGUGGGCGUGGCCCAUUCCGUGGCCUCCUCAUCCUGUAA